GACGAACGCUGGCGGCGUGCCUAAUACAUGCAAGUCGUGCGGACCUUGUUGAAAGCUUGCUUUUAAAAGGUUCGCGGCGGACGGGUGAGUAACACGUGGGCAACCUGCCUGUAAGACUGGGAUAACGCCGGGAAACCGGGGCUAAUACCAGAUCGUUUUUUCCUCCGCAUGGAGGAAAAAGGAAAGGCGGCUUCGGCUGCCACUUACAGAUGGGCCCGCGGCGCAUUAGCUAGUUGGCGGGGUAAUGGCCCACCAAGGCAACGAUGCGUAGCCGACCUGAGAGGGUGAUCGGCCACAUUGGGACUGAGACACGGCCCAAACUCCUACGGGAGGCAGCAGUAGGGAAUCUUCCGCAAUGGACGAAAGUCUGACGGAGCAACGCCGCGUGAGUGAAGAAGGCCUUCGGGUCGUAAAACUCUGUUGCCGGGGAAGAACAAGUGCCGUUCGAACAGGGCGGCGCCUUGACGGUACCCGGCCAGAAAGCCACGGCUAACUACG
rnacentral:rRNA from 1 species